CUUUAAAGUACCUGAGCACCGAAUAAUGUUACCAAGAUGUUGGACAAUGGCUGUUCCAGCCUAACCCAUUAAAACAGUACCAAUCAAAGAAACAAACUAUUCUACCUGUAUCCGUGGAGGUCAGCUCUAACUGGACACAUACAAGAGGUCUAUUUAAACUGGAGUCAUACAGCUGCAACCUCCCAGGAGAUCUGUUCUAAUGCAUCAGGCCAACCAACCUUAGAAACAACUAGAUGUCAGAAGGCAAUGUCAAAAGGUGAAAAAAUGAAAAUCUGAUCUUUUGUAAUAUAUGUGGACUUUCCAAGACUUCUAAGAUCACAAAUGAAUUUAUUUGAUCAGAAUUUAGAGAAAGAAUAUGAUAUGUCUGCCAUUCAGUGUUCAUUAUGCUCAGGUAUAAUACAUCAAAUCUUCAGCACUAAAAUAGAGUGGGAAGUCAUCAGUAAAACCUGAGUCAGUGUCCAUCACCUGUACAACUUGCUAUGGAAGAAGCUUGAGCCACUCACUGCUCCAUUGCUAUCCAUUGGCAUGCUAAAUCAAAUCUUAUUUCAAUUCCUAUUCUCUUGCAUGGUACUGAUUACAUCAAGAAAACACUGUGAUUAAUAGCAACAAACAGAAAAAUAUUGAAGAAAUGUAUUUCAAACAUCAUGAAUCUCUGAAACACGUUGAUCUACAAGGAAACAGAACAUUUCAGUUAUGUUUGUUGUCUUAAUAAAUUG
ensembl:lncRNA